rnacentral:ncRNA from 1 species
GGUCAAGCUAAAAAGGGCGCAAGGGGGAUGCCUUGGCAUUGGUAGCCGAUGAAGGACGUAGCGAUCUACGAUAAGCCACGGGAAGUCGAAAGCAGGCAAUGAUCCGUGGAUUUCCGAAUGGGGAAACCCGGCAGAGCAAUACUCUGUCAACUCCUUGUGAAUAAAAUAGCAUUGAGUAGGGAACCUCCUGAACUGAAACAUCUAAGUAGGGAGAGGAAAAGAAAUCAACCGAGAUUCCGCUAGUAGUGGCGAGCGAACGCGGAAGAGGCCAAACCAAGAGUAGUAAUACUUUUGGGGUUCGGACUGAGGACGGUAUUGACAAGAGUUAGUAGAAUGAAAUGGGAAGUUCAACCAUAGAGUGUGAGAGUCACGUAUACGAAAACUUAAGUCAGCCAUCAGUAUCCAGAGUACCGCCGGACACGUGAAACCCGGUGGGAAUACGGGGGGACCACCCUCCAAGCCUAAAUACUCACCAAUGACCGAUAGUGUAUAGUACUGUGAAGGAAAGGUGAAAAGAACCCCUGGCGGGGAGUGAAAAAGAACCUGAAACCUUGUGCCUACAAGCACAUAGAGCACGUCAACGUGUGAUAUGGUACCUUUUGUAGAAUGGUCCGGCGAGUGAAUGUCACUAGCGAGGUUAAGAACUUAAGGUUUGCAGCCGAAGCGAAAGCGAGUCUUAAUAGGGCGAGUUUAGUUAGUGGUAUUCGACCCGAAACCGAGUGACCUAGCCAUGAGCAGGCUGAAGUGGAGGUAAAACUCCAUGGAGGGCCGAACCCACUCCCGUUGAAAUGGUAGGGGAUGACUUGUGGCUAGCGGAGAAAUUCCAAUCGAACUCGGAGAUAGCUGGUUCUCUC